rnacentral:rRNA from 1 species
AGACGUCUACAUUAGAUACCCGCGUAGUCCCAGCCGUAAACUAUGCGCGUUAGGUGUAUCGGUGACCACGAGUUACCGAGGUGCCGAAAGGGAAACCGUAGAAACGUGCCGCCUGGGAAGUACGGUCGCAAGGCUAGAAACUUAAAGGAAUUGGCGGGGAGCACCACAACAGGUGGAGCCUGCGGUUUAAUUGGACUCAACGCCGGGAAGCUCACCGGAUAGGACAGCAGAAUGAUUGCCGGGCUGAAGACCCUGCAUGACUAGCUG